rnacentral:rRNA from 1 species
CACAUGCAAGUCUCAGCACUCCAGUGAGAAUCCCCUUACAACCUUUGUAAGGCCAAGGAGUUGAUAUCAGGCACAAACUACUGCCCAUAACAUCUAGUCUCACCACACCCCCAAGGGUACUCAGCAGUGACAAAGAUUGCCCAUAAGCGUCAGCUUAAGUCAGUUAUAAAAAACAGAGCCGGCAAACUGGGUGCCAGCCGCCGCGGCUACACCAAUGGGCUCAAGCUGAUGACAACCGGCGUCAAGCGUGAUUAAAGAUACCUUAAUUAGAGUUAAAUUUAAGUUUAGUUGUGAUAAACUUACUUCACGGAAAUUCAUAAUCGAAAGUUAUUCUAAUAUUUAACCUUGAACACACGACAACUUGGAAACAAACUGAGAUUAGAUACCCCACUAUG